UCUAAAUCUGGAAGUUGCAAAACUAUUUAAGUUUGGAAGCAAAAUUACCCAGUCACCAACCACAAACAGGCUCAGUAAGAGAGGAUUCUGAAGGUUUCUCUUCAUCCUCAAAGCAUAAAGAUCAAGACAUGCAAGUCCCAAGCUCC